UACGUAGGGUGCGAGCGUUGUCCGGAAUUAUUGGGCGUAAAGAGCUCGUAGGCGGUGUGUCACGUCGUUCGUGAAAACCUGCAGCUUAACUGUGGGCGUGCGGUCGAUACGGGCAUCACUGGAGUUCGGCAGGGGAGACUGGAAUUCCUGGUGUAGCGGUGAAAUGCGCAGAUAUCAGGAGGAACACCGAUGGCGAAGGCAGCUCGCUGGGACGGUACUGACGCUGGAGGCGCGAAAGCGUGGGGAGCGAACAGG
rnacentral:rRNA from 1 species